GUGAACCAUCAUGGCUAUCACUCUAUAAAUGUUCAAAUGCUGAGCUAAGUAUUUUAAAUAAAAGUCGAGCGAUAAAUAUUUGUUAUACUUUUAUAGAUAUGUGACCAAAUUUAAAAAUACUGAACGUCAAUGCUAGGUUUCCGGGAGCACGACAUGACUCUUACAUUUGGAGUCCUGUCCAGUUCGGCGAGUCAUGCAGAGAGCUUUUGACAAUGGAAACCGCAGCAUGCUUUUGAUUGGCGAUUCAGGACACCCCUUAGAGCCAUGGCUCAUGACGCCUUUACCGAACCAACCUGAGGAUACUCCUAAGUUUCGGUACAACGAGGCGCUAUGCAAAGCUCGAAAUUCAGUAGAUAGACUAUUUGGAGUGCCUAAAUGAACUUGGCGAUGUUUAUCACAACAACGAGUGUUACUAUACGACCCUGGUUUUGCUGACUUUACAGCUCCUCCUAUUGCGUUGAGCUUUUGUGCCAUUUCCGCCCACUUCUUUUGGUACUCCAGCUUUCCGUGGAGACGCUGGA